rnacentral:tRNA from 1 species
GGCCCUGUGGCGCAACGGUAGCGCAUCUGACUCCAGUCAGAAGGGUGUCCGUUUGAAUCGGGCCGGGAUCA